rnacentral:misc_RNA from 1 species
GUGUGAAAUGUGUCAGAUUGGUGCUUACUCUGCGGUGGUGAUGGAGGCUCAUAGAAAAGGGAAGAAACAUCAAGGCAGGCUGGCAGAACUUAAUCAAAACAGCGAAGCUGUCUCAACCAUCACCACAAUGGAUGCUGAAGCUGGUGAGAAGGCAAAAGGUACAGAAAAAGAAAAUGAGAAGGUGACGGAAAAUGUCAAUGAAAAUGAGAAAAUAACAGAAACUGUUGCAGACAAUGAGAAGAUACUGGAAAAUGUGAUUGCAGAUGCAGAAACUGUUUGUAGACCAUGAGAAGAUGACAGAAAGUGUGGUUGCAAUGGAGAUGGAUCAGUUCAAUCUUCAAUUUCAAGUUAACGAUCAAAGUUAAACCGCUUUCAGAAGGUAUCCUUUAAGAGUACAUAGACUUGGAAGUUCAAGGUUAACUUUUUCAGUUGCCUGUAUGUUAAGUGAAUUAAACCCUUGUAUUUUGAGUGGUGAAUUUCAUGAAAUUCGCCAGCAAACAACUGACGUUUGGCCCUGGAAAUUGGACGUUUCAUGAGCAAAAUUAUUAUUAUGCCCCCUUGUAGGUUAGAAUGGAACACUCCUAUUGAUACGGUCUUUUAAAAACGCGUACCAUAUAGCAAGACCGACUCCUUUUCACAAUGGAAACUUAGCUUUCGACCAUGCAAUUGCGAAAUUAAUAUUCUAGCCAGAUCACAUGGUUCUAAUUUUUACAUUAUUAUUCCAACUUGAUGUGACAGACCUUUUUGAGUUCCAAAAUCCAUGAAUCCAUGCUCGAAAUCAAAAGUUUCUAUUAGAUAAGUACAAAAACCAAAAAGAAUGACCCAACGUGAUUGCUCUUCAACAUGAAUGUUCAAUGGUUAAAUUCAUCUAGACAGUGGCCACCGUUCUUCCACUGUAAGCAUCAGUGAUAACGUCAACAACUCCAAUGGUUGAAUAUCCUUCCCACCCACCCAGAAGACGUAGCUAUAUGCGUUACUUGUGGAAUUGGUUUUUGGCCCUCCCAUCUCACGUCACUUCCCACACCAAACAAGAGAACAUGCCAGUGAAUGAACUAUAAUUUCCUUUGAUUUGCUGAGCUAAAAUAAAAUCAACAGCACAGUGACAGAAUUUGGAACCUAUCAUUAGUAAUUCCAAGAACAGUGACAGAAUUUGGAACCUAUCAUUAGUAAUUCCAAGA